rnacentral:pre_miRNA from 1 species
GCAGCUCAUGCUGGGAUCCCCAAAAUAGAGGCACUAUUCCUUUUGUCUGUACUGGGAAGUGCUUCGAUUUUGGGGAGCCCUGUGUGAGUAGGC